UGCAGGUCAGGAGUGUGCCUGGAGACCAUCACAAAUUAAAUAUGAUGAUUGGUGUGAUGUAGUGUUCUAAUGUGUCAGGACAGAGAGUUUCCAGCUGGAACUUGAUGAGUCACACAGCUUUUCUUCCUUUUGGUAUUAUUCAAUUAUUUUAGGAGACUUUUUUCUUCAAUUGGGCAGAGGUUACAUCCUGCUGCUCAAAACAAGCACAACAGCAAGGGCGAUAAUGACCAAACAAUCUGUAUUUCUGCUGUCGUUCAUUCAUUUUCCACAGUGCUCUGUAAACACGGAGCCUUGACAAGUGUAACUGAUCCACAUACUAUUGUGACAUUAAAGCUGAAAGAUGUGGAUGAAGCAGUGACAGAAACACACAAAAAAAAGAGCAUUAAAAUGAAGUUUGGUUCCAAGCUGCAGAAGCAGUUGCACAAACUGAAGAAUAAAGAUGUGAGAAAUUUGUGAGAAAAAUGCAGAAGCCUGAGUCAACAUUUAUUUGAACACCAUCUGCCUAAUGCUGAAGACAAAUCUCCACACACAGAGGUAAUCACACCUACAUCAUUUUGAUUUCCAGAACAAAGCCAUUUCUCUAACAAAGGAUACUACCAAUCCAGACCUGAAAUGGUUUUCUUUCUGUUUUCUCCAGAAGCAGAGGAGUGCUGGGGGCCUUGGGUAAAUGGAGAUUUGUUCCAAAUUAGGAACUAAUCAGUCAGGAAAGAAUAGCAAUGAAUAAAUUGUUUACAGUCAAAAUCUCUUCAUUUAUACCGAUCAUAAUUACAUUUUGCACUCAAACGUUGGAGCAUGUCUGUGUGCUUAGUGACUGUCUGCUGCUGUGACUGCACAAGUGAAUUACCUUCACUAUAAGCCAGAAGUUUUCCUGUCCAGCUUUCUACAUCUUGCAUUUUUCCCCUGGGUUCAAGAAAAAUUGAUGCUGAACUCUCUGGGAAAACGAUCCUGGUUUUUGAGAGAGCGAGGUGGAGGAAACAACUAUGUGGUGCUCCCCAAUGAGAACAAGGGCUGUCCCAUGAGCCACUAAGGCUCAGCCUUAUUGCUCGCCCACCACAUCAGCUUGUUGUUGGUGCAGCCCUGCACACAGAUCUCAGAAAUCCCCUCUGCACCCUCUCGAUGAAGCUCAAGCUGUUCUGACCAACUCAAAUUAGUAACAGCAUGAGGAGACACGAGGUCAUUCUGACC